rnacentral:tRNA from 1 species
GAGCGUAUAGCUCAAAUGGUAGAGUGCAUGCUCAGCAUGCAUGAGGUCUUGGGUUCAAUCCCAGUACCUCCA